UAACUAUUUUUUCCAAAAUAUUAUUUCAGUUUAAGUUACAAGUAUUUUCAAUUUAAUUUCCUUUACACUUGCUUCACAUUGCAACGUAACGAUAUCGACGAACUCGAUUGAAUCACUGACAAAUGUUCCUGUGGAAUGAAGGCCUUUUAUAGCGACCAACUACAUGGACUCUUAUGAGUCCAUAACAACCCAUGUGCUUAAAUCUAAAAGUUGUUAAUUGUAAAUUGUGAGGCCAAACUGAAUCACCGAGUAGAAGUUCUGAAUAAUUUU